GCGUGGCAGUCAUAGUGUUGGGCAAAAGGCCGCUCCCGAUGACGUUACCGUUUCAGGUCAUCUCCAGACCAAGUGAAGACUGUAGCACCACCUCAGAUCCACUCACUGAUGACAUCCUGUCUCUUGUCCUGAACCCACCUUUUACAGACAUGAGUGCCAGUGUGCUACAUGUUGGUCAGAUACACAGCUGCUUGACAUCCCUGGUGCACAGAAGCUGAGUUCUAAGAGUUUAUGCCAUUCCUGAAGAAGAGGCCAACAAAGCUGCUAGAUACUAGCAGGUAGAGGGUCCCAUUGCUGGACAUUGCACUUAAAGGCAUUCUAAAGGUGUUCUGUGGAGUUAAGCUGAUAACAGAAGACUGUGAUGAUGCGGGUUCGACUCCGUGCUCCUAUUGCUGUUCAGAAGCCCUUGAACCCAACACCGUCGAUAAUGUCACCGAGAUGAGCUGACAAAUCUCUCAA